rnacentral:rRNA from 1 species
GCAUAAUCAUUAGUUUUUUUAAUUGGGGACUGGAAUGAAGGGUUGAAUCUGAGGAGGGUUUUAGUUUAUUAAAUAAAUUUGAAUUUAGAUUUAGGGUAAAAAUACUUUUAAAUAUUCUUGGAACGAGAAGACCUUAAAAGCUUUAUAUUUUUUAGUUAGGUGAAUUAAAUUAAUAUUUUAUAGGGGCAAUAAUUGAAGAUGAAAAAUUUUAAUUGUUAGGUUAGGAGAUUUUAGUUACUUUAGGGUUAACAGCGUUUUUUUAAUUUGCGAGUUCUUAUUAAUAAUUAGGUUUGCGACCUCAAUGUAGAAUUACUU